CGGGGAUUAGCGCAGUCCGGUAGCGCGCAUCGUUCGGGACGAUGAGGUCGCCAGUUCAAAUCUGGCAUCCCCGACCA
rnacentral:tRNA from 1 species